GAUGAACGCUAGCUACAGGCUUAACACAUGCAAGUCGAGGGGCAGCAUGGUCUUAGCUUGCUAAGGCCGAUGGCGACCGGCGCACGGGUGAGUAACACGUAUCCAACCUGCCGUCUACUCUUGGACAGCCUUCUGAAAGGAAGAUUAAUACAAGAUGGCAUCAUGAGUCCGCAUGUUCACAUGAUUAAAGGUAUUCCGGUAGACGAUGGGGAUGCGUUCCAUUAGAUAGUAGGCGGGGUAACGGCCCACCUAGUCUUCGAUGGAUAGGGGUUCUGAGAGGAAGGUCCCCCACAUUGGAACUGAGACACGGUCCAAACUCCUACGGGAGGCGGCAGUGAGGAAUAUUGGUCAAUGGGCGCAGGCCUGAACCAGCCAAGUAGCGUGAAGGAUGACUGCCCUAUGGGUUGUAAACUUCUUUUAUAAAGGAAUAAAGUCGGGUAUGUAUACCCGUUUGCAUGUACUUUAUGAAUAAGGAUCGGCUAACUCCGUG
rnacentral:rRNA from 1 species